ACGCUUCUUUUCUACCGAGUGCUUGCACUCACUUGAAAAGAGGAGUCGGCGGACGGGUGAGUAACACGUGGGUAACCUGCCCAUCAGAGGGGGAUAACACUUGGAAACAGGUGCUAAUACCGCAUAAUAGUCGACACCGCAUGGUGUUGAUUUGAAAGACGCUUCCGGGUGUCACUGGUGGAUGGACCCGCGGUGCAUUAGCUAGUUGGUGAGGUAACGGCUCACCAAGGCGAUGAUGCAUAGCCGACCUGAGAGGGUGAUCGGCCACACUGGGACUGAGACACGGCCCAGACUCCUACGGGAGGCAGCAGUAGGGAAUCUUCGGCAAUGGACGAAAGUCUGACCGAGCAACGCCGCGUGAGUGAAGAAGGUUUUCGGAUCGUAAAACUCUGUUGUUAGAGAAGAAUAAGUAGGAGAGUAACUGCUCUUACCUUGACGGUAUCUAACCAGAAAGCCACGGCUAACUACGUGCCAGCAGCCGCGGUAAUACGUAGGUGGCAAGCGUUGUCCGGAUUUAUUGGGCGUAAAGCGAGCGCGGGCGGUUUCUUAAGUCUGAUGUGAAAGCCCCCGGCUCAACCGGGGAGGGUCAUUGGAAACUGGGAGACUUGAGUGCAGAAGAGGAGAGUGGAAUUCCAUGUGUAGCGGCGAAAUGCGUAGAUAUAUGGAGGAACACCAGUGGCGAACGCGACUCUCUGGUCUGUAACUGACGCUGAGCUCGAAAGCGUGGGGAGCAAAUAGAUUAGAUACCCUGGUAGUCCACGCCGUAACGAUGAGUGCUAAGUGUUGGGAGGGUUUCCGCCCUUCAGUGCUGCAGCAAACGCAUUAAGCACUC
rnacentral:rRNA from 1 species